rnacentral:rRNA from 1 species
GACGAACGCUGGCGGCGUGCUUAACACAUGCAAGUCGAACGGAAAGGCCCUGCUUUUGUGGGGUGCUCGAGUGGCGAACGGGUGAGUAACACGUGAGUAACCUGCCCUUGACUUUGGGAUAACUUCAGGAAACUGGGGCUAAUACCGGAUCGGAGCUCCUGCUGCAUGGUGGGGGUUGGAAAGUUUCGGCGGUUGGGGAUGGACUCGCGGCUUAUCAGCUUGUUGGUGGGGUAGUGGCUUACCAAGGCUUUGACGGGUAGCCGGCCUGAGAGGGUGACCGGCCACAUUGGGACUGGGAUACGGCCCAGACUCAUACGGGGGGCAGCAGUGGGGAAUAUUGCACAAUGGGCGGAGGCCGGAUGCAGGAACGCCGCGUGCGGGAUGACGGCCUUCGGGUUGUAAACCGCUUUCGCCUGUGACGAAGCGUGAGUGACGGUAAUGGGUAAAGAAGCACGGGCUAACUACGU